AGUAGCGCGUGUCUGCAUGUGUCCUGGAACAAAAGAAAAGAAAAGGACCAUUCUCCAAAAACCUCUCAAUUCAAUUUCUUCCAGAAUUGAUGUUCUUUGAUUCAUCUCUCUCUCUCUGGAGUGCCUUUGGUUUUCCCUUUUCCCUUCCCUCACACCUCAAUUUCAACCCAAUUUCACCAAUCAAUGCAUCUUUUUCUUUGCAUUAGCCUUUUUCAACCCUUCUUCCCACUUUUUCCUUCCUCUGUUCCUCUCAAUUUUCUCAAAUUCCUCUUCCAAUCCCCCAUAAUUUGAACAAAAGCGACGGAUUCUAGGGUUUUGAUCCACAUUACCUGUACUUUCUUCAAAAUCCGCCCAAAACACAAUCGUUUAUGGCCGGCGGCGCCGCCACUACUCCGACGGCGGCCACGAAGUUCAUUAAGUGCGUGACGGUUGGAGAUGGCGCCGUUGGGAAGACUUGUCUUCUCAUCUCUUACACUAGCAACACUUGUCCGACUGAUUAUGUUCCUACUGUUUUUGAUAAUUUCAGUGCCAAUGUUUUGGUUAAUGGGCGGUCUGUGAAUUUGGGUCUCUGGGACACUGCCGGUGAUUUCCUUUUCUCUGUUUCCGAUAAUCAUGCUUCAUUUAUCCAGUUUUGUUAUUAAACUGUUGAUGGAUUUUCUUUUCUGGGAUUUCCGUAAUUUCAUGUGCGUAAGCUUAAAGCUAAAUACCUCUACUUGAGUGACGUUUUUGGAGAUUUGACCAAAUUACAAGACGAAGGAAGCCUUUAAGAUCAUAAGAUCAAAUUGAAGCUAAACGAAAAUUAUAAUCACUAUAGGAUUAUACUAGUAGUUUCUCAUAAGAAAAAAGGAUUAUACCAGUAGUUCAACCAACAUACUAUAAUGUGUCGUAGAAAGAAAUUCUAUGUGUCGUCAAUAGCUAUAGGAUAUGAAUAUCUGAACAAGUUUUAUCAAGUACAUAGAGGAAGUUUAGAUGCACUUUAAAAUUAAACCAUGUUACAAAGUUGUUCUUCUCAGAAUGUGUUCUUCAAAUCUGUCCAGUUGAUAAGCCUCCACGCAUUGUUUCAUAUUCUUCUUCACUUGUUUCUUUUUCAAUUACAAAACUAGUUUAGAUUUUCUUUUUCCUCCUUAUUUUAUUGGUAUAAUUGAAACUCUAGUGGAAAAAUAAAAAACAAGUGUCCCUGUUCUGUAGGCACUUGAUCGCACAGUAUCUUCCAGAAAUAUCAUUAUGAAUGUUUGUAAGCUAGAUAGACUAGGGUACUCCAAUCUUCAAUGAAAAGAUAUUCCCACUAAUUUCCAUUUUAAAGUGAUGUAUGAAUGUUAGAAGGAUCAGUUUAUAGGUCAAGAAGAUUAUAGCAGGCUAAGACCUUUGAGUUACAGAGGAGCUGAUGUUUUCCUUCUUGCCUUUUCACUUAUAAGUCGGGCAAGCUUUGAAAAUAUAUCAAAGAAAGUAAGUUCACUUCUUGUACAACUUUUGGAAUGUUUAUUAUUUUGAUUCAGUAUUUAGAUUCUUCUUGAUGUCCUUUUCUUUUGGAGCAGUGAAUCCCAGAGUUAAGGCAUUAUGCCCCAUCAGUGUCCCUUAUUUUUGUAGGGACCAAACUAGGUGCCUUUCUUCUUUAAUUUUAAUUUUAUUGCCUGAAUUAUCAAUUCCUUCACUCUUAAGUAAAAUUCUCAUAAUUUUCCUGAUGGUUGUUUUUGUGGGCUAGUAUAAGAACCCACAUCCACAAAUGGAACAAUCUUUUUUUACCUUUUCAGGGACACUGUCAGAUAAAAAUGUGUGUUUCAAUGUCAUGAUAUCAGAGAUCAACUUCUUCAAUAUCGAUCUUCUACAUACAAGUCCAUACAUUAAACUAGAAUCUCCACAUGAUAUAGAUAUAUUUGUACUGUGUAAAACGAUGCCUAAUAUCUUUUUUUUCAGGGUGAGGAACUAAAGAAGCUCAUUGGAGCAGUGGCAUGCAUUGAUUGCAGUUCAAAGACACGUCAGAAUGUAAGGCUGUCAUUGAUGCUGCUGCAAUCAAGGUGAUUCUUCAACCUCCAAAAUCAAAGAAGUCAAAGAGAAAACUUCCAAUCUGCAAUUUUCUCUCAUCAUGUUUAAUUAAGCCUCUCCCCACUACUUGUAAUUGAACUAUGUAUGUUAACUUCUAUGAUCCUUUAUAGGGUGUAUUUUAACAAUUGUGUUAUUGUAUCAUAAUGUUAGUCAUUUUAUUUUGUUUGAGCUCAACAAA